CAGGCUUGCUCGAGCUGCAUUUCGUUCCUCCGGUGGCUCCUCCUUGAAGGUGUCGUCGGAGGGUCGCGUGCUUUUCGUCUUGCGUUGGGACGACGCGUGAGUGGCUUAUAGGGCAUGAUCCCAGUGCAGGCCCCGUGCUUCUUGCAUCGAACUGCCCUGGUCUGUCCGUUUCAUUAGUUGGUCCGCCUCGGCCCUUUCAGGGCGGUUGCGGCUGCCAGGAGGGUUCCUGUGCUCGAUAUCCGAAUACGGUAGUUGGAUGGAUUCUUGUCCCCGCCUUGGUUUCCUCUAUCCACCAACGUCUCUCGGGAGUUGGUGGAUAUUAUCGUGCCGGCAUCCGACGUUCUCCGUCGCGAAAGUCGAUCCCCUUUGGGCGCUUCUUCUCGUGAUGGCGCGUCGGUGCCGCCGGUCAUGCUCUCGGGUACGGUGACUUUAUGGCUAUCGCGUCGGUCCUCGUCGGCCGUUGUGAUAUCGACUUGUCGAAGCGUGAACGCUUCUGCUCGCGUGACUCUCUUGCUUGUCUAAGGGCUCGCGGAGCUACUCAGUUUCGUGAUCGUCUUGGGGAGGCAUCGAGGUCUACGGCGGAAUGAACGC
rnacentral:misc_RNA from 1 species